UGGCUCAGUGGUAAAGAAUCUGCCUGCAAAGCAGGAGACUCAGGUUCAAUACCUGG
rnacentral:tRNA from 1 species